UCCCCGCACUCACAUUUUCUGCUUACAGGGCCCGUUGAGGAAACCCGACGCCGAUUUCUCUCAUUAGAACACUACCCUCAACCUCCCCGCUUCGGGAGCAGCUGGGCACUGCUGGUCCCGGGUUUGAAAAACCGACUUCACAGCGUAGCUUUCUACUUCUUGUGUACUAAGGAGGAUUCGAACAUUGGUGGCCGCGAUCACUCUGAUUUUCUCAAGCAAAUAACCCAAUGUGCUCAUCCUCAAAGUUCCAGGACCUGCUUUUGCGGGGGACACCGGAGAAAGAAGGGUGUGUGUGUAUGUCCACGUACGCACAGGACGGAGGACGAGAAAGCAGCGCAGGAGUUGGCAGGCCGCGUCCACCACCAGAAGGCUCGCGCGGGUCCUGAGACUCGCUCCGGCUUCUGCGCCGGGGCCGCAAUCUCUCGAGCUGCGCCUGGCGCUCCCAGUCGCGCAGGGCACGAAGGAUGCACGCGAAGGAGCCGGGCCGGCGGCUGCCGGACUUCGGAGGGGCUGACCUCGCCGCCUCUCCCCCGGGCUCUGCGCCCCCUCUGGGCCCCGCGCCCGGGACCUGCCUCCUUUCUUUCCUUCCUUCCCAGUGAGCUCACUUCCUCCCCACGCCGUUCCCUUCCGUCGGCCGUCAGAGCCUCCAGGCCAGCCGCGGCUUUCUGGGCGCGCGAGGACUCCCGGCCCGGGGCUUCCUCCGCGCCCCGCCCCCGCCCCCUACCCGGGGCGCUUCCUGGGGAGACGCCGGGAGCUGCGCAAGGUUCCGCCCGCGGGACAGGGGAAAUGGAAAUCUCAGCUCGGAGGAUAAAGGGCUUCGUUCGCGGCCAGAUUCCUAACGAGCGCGGGAUGGAAGCACGCAGGCCUAAGCGUUUCAUCCAGAGGGGCCCUGGGCUCGGCCCAGCGCCUGUGUCCCUUUCCUUGCUUCCUUCUUUCUCUCCCGCCCUGUUCCUCGCUGUAGUUCACGCGUGUAUUAAAAAUUCAUAUGCGGCCGCAUUUAAAAAGCAAUUCCGAAUUUUAAGGCCGGCAGCAGUAGAGGGAGAGUUACAAAUAGGAUUGGAUUUAAUUAGCUGGUAA
rnacentral:lncRNA from 1 species